CCUGUGCCUCUGUGUCGAGUGUCCACUCUCCUCUCGCUGGGGGAGACGAGCCGUCUAGGUUUAGCCAUCUACGAGCCGGUAGCAGCAGCGCUGGGAUCUCCAGCCAGCAGCCACCGGGGGCGGCGGUAGGAGCGAUGCGGUGGAGGCUUGUGAUGUCCGGUCCCGACCCCGGCGCCUCCACUUAGCCGCGGUGGAGAUGGAGGCCGCCCCCAAGCGGGCCCGUGCGGGCGGCGGCGAGGCGCCCGACCGGUUGAGCGCCCUGCCGGACGAGCUCCUCCACCGCGUCUUUUCCUUCCUCCCGUCCCAGCAGGCCGUGCAGACCACCGUGCUGUCCAAGCGGUGGAUAGAUCUGUGGCGUUCGAUGCCUGCCAUCAACCUCAACAUUAAGGAAUUCGAGUGCCGAAGCCCCGCCCCGGGACAGUAUGAGAAGACGAGGUGGGGAAAGAUGGAGAAUUUCACCACCAACCUGCUGAUGCGUCACAGGGCCCCGCGGCUGGAUGCAUUCCGGUUAAAUACAGGUUCAAUUAGAGUUGAUUGGCGUCGGGAUGUGGAUAGAUGGAUUCGCCGUGCCAUCGAGUACUGCCCAGUGAAGCUCCACAUCCGGCUUCCUGUUCGCUUGGGUGUUCCAUAUCAACUACCCAAACCGUUUUCUUGUCAUCUCAAACGUUUGGUUCUUCUGGUGUGUCUCUGGAGCACAUUUUCGGUGAGCAGCUCCGAUCUGAGUGCCCAGUCCUAGAAGAUCUGGAACUAUGGAGAUGUCGUGAGUUCAGUGGUCUUCAUUCUGACACAUUGAAGAAGUUGUAUGUUUAUGAUUGCUCAGGUGGAGCUGCAGAUAAAUUGGUCAUCAGGGCUCCUUCUCUUGCUUCUCUGUCCCUUAGCCUUCCUAUUCACGGGGCUUGCGGUUAUAGAAAUGGUGUUUUAUUAUAUACAGAGAAGUUCCUUGCCGAGGCAUGGAUUUCUAUGGGAUAUAAUCAACUAUCUCGAAGAGGCGGGGCAAUCCUUCUGGGCAGCCUAUUCAAUGUGACGAGCUUGGAGCUGAUUUCUUUUAGUGCAAUGGCAAUUCUACAUGAGGAAUUUGAUAAAUCCCCAGUAUUUGACAACUUGCGAACCUUAUCCCUCAUCGGCUGUUUUGACAGCAAACAUGAUGUGAACAAAUUCAGAGCUCUUGGAAGAUUGCUGCAGAAGCUUCCUAAUCUGGAGAAGCUUACUUUGAAAGAUUUCUGGUAUGAUGAAGGUACAUUAAGGGAGGUGCAAAUGGUCAACAAGGCGACCCUUAAAACGAUUUUUUUGAGUGAGCUUGCCAGCACAUAGUGGGGGUUCCUGUUAGUUUCUUUGAAUUAGGUACCACGUCAUUUUUUUAUGAAGUAUGUUGUACAAUUAAUCACGGGCUUGAGAUAUCUUCUAAAUUAUCCAUUUUAUCUUUUACUUCUGUGAACGAUCUGUGUGUGGCAGGACAUGAGUUGUUUGAUCUCUUAGAUAGUGGCCCUAGGCGUGGAGAUUCACGAGCUCCGCCACUGCCUAGUAGGGCCUGUUUUUAAUGAAGGGUGAGGCCAGUUGUAGGACCAAUUGAAUUUCCUAUACUUGAAAACUUGAGAACCUUAUUGCUGGAUGAGUGUGAUUUGCGCGACAACAUCCGAUUACCGCGCCACUUUCUACAGAGCUCUCCUAAUCUGGAAAAGCUCACAGUACGGCUUUGCAAGCUACCCAAAGUUUCCCCAGAAGGUAAAGGAAAAGCCAGGUCGGGGAAGGGAUAUUGUCAGUUCCAGAACCUUGUUCGAUUCAAGUGUCAGAAGCUAAAGUCCACUGAAAUCAUCUACAAAAAUGGUAGCAAAAUCCAGGGACUGGUUAGUCUUUUUCUCGGCAUCUCAGACUGCACCAAAGAAUACUGUAACACUUAAGAAGUAUGAAGGAGAAGAAGGCGACGGCACAGCCUUACUCUAGGCAGUAGAUCGGUAGUAUUCUUGCGCGCACGCCCGUUCCGUGGGCUAUUUUCAGAUAAACCAUCUGUUGUAAAUAUGCACGGGGCACUGAGUUUACUUCUGACACUUUCUAUAUAACUUAAGGUUGUGCUGCAUGGUAUUUUGAGGUGUCCGGUUGGAAUGGAGGAUGCAUUCUUGAAUUGGA